ACCUGGCUGGCUCAGUUGGUAGAGUAUGUGACUCUUGAUCUCAGGGUUGUGAGUUCGAGCCCCAUGUUGGGUG
rnacentral:tRNA from 1 species